CACUGGUCGAGUCGGCCUGCGCGGAAGAUGUAACGGGGCUAAACCAUGCACCGAAGCUGCGGCAGCGACACUGUGUGUUGUUGGGUAGGGGAGCGUUCUGUAAGCCUGUGAAGGUGUGUCGUGAGGCAUGCUGGAGGUAUCAGAAGUGCGAAUGCUGACAUAAGUAACGAUAAAGCGGGUGAAAAGCCCGCUCGCCGGAAGACCAAGGGUUCCUGUCCAACGUUAAUCGGGGCAGGGUGAGUCGACCCCUAAGGCGAGGCCGAAAGGCGUAGUCGAUGGGAAACGGGUUAAUAUUCCCGUACUUGGUGUUACUGCGAAGGGGGGACGGAGAAGGCUAUGUUGGCCGGGCGACGGUUGUCCCGGUUUAAGCGUGUAGGUGUGUGUUCCAGGUAAAUCCGGUUCACUUUAACACUGAGGCGUGACGACGAGGCACUACGGUGCUGAAGCAACAAAUGCCCUGCUUCCAGGAAAAGCCUCUAAGCAUCAGGUAACAUCAAAUCGUACCCCAAACCGACACAGGUGGUCAGGUAGAGAAUACCAAGGCGCUUGAGAGAACUCGGGUGAAGGAACUAGGCAAAAUGGUGCCGUAACUUCGGGAGAAGGCACGCUGACACGUAGGUGAAGUGAUUUACUCAUGGAGCUGAAGUCAGUCGAAGAUACCAGCUGGCUGCAACUGUUUAUUAAAAACACAGCACUGUGCAAACACGAAAGUGGACGUAUACGGUGUGACGCCUGCCCGGUGCCGGAAGGUUAAUUGAUGGGGUCAGCGCAAGCGAAGCUCCUGAUCGAAGCCCCGGUAAACGGCGGCCGUAACUAUAACGGUCCUAAGGUAGCGAAAUUCCUUGUCGGGUAAGUUCCGACCUGCACGAAUGGCGUAAUGAUGGCCAGGCUGUCUCCACCCGAGACUCAGUGAAAUUGAACUCGCUGUGAAGAUGCAGUGUACCCGCGGCAAGACGGAAAGACCCCGUGAACCUUUACUAUAGCUUGACACUGAACAUUGAGCCUUGAUGUGUAGGAUAGGUGGGAGGCUUUGAAGUGUGGACGCCAGUCUGCAUGGAGCCGACCUUGAAAUACCACCCUUUAAUGUUUGAUGUUCUAACGUGGACCCGUUACCCGGGUUGCGGACAGUGUCUGGUGGGUAGUUUGACUGGGGCGGUCUCCUCCUAAAGAGUAACGGAGGAGCACGAAGGUUGGCUAAUCCUGGUCGGACAUCAGGAGGUUAGUGCAAUGGCAUAAGCCAGCUUGACUGCGAGCGUGACGGCGCGAGCAGGUGCGAAAGCAGGUCAUAGUGAUCCGGUGGUUCUGAAUGGAAGGGCCAUCGCUCAACGGAUAAAAGGUACUCCGGGGAUAACAGGCUGAUACCGCCCAAGAGUUCAUAUCGACGGCGGUGUUUGGCACCUCGAUGUCGGCUCAUCACAUCCUGGGGCUGAAGUAGGUCCCAAGGGUAUGGCUGUUCGCCAUUUAAAGUGGUACGCGAGCUGGGUUUAGAACGUCGUGAGACAGUUCGGUCCCUAUCUGCCGUGGGCGCUGGAGAACUGAGGGGGGCUGCUCCUAGUACGAGAGGACCGGAGUGGACGCAUCACUGGUGUUCGGGUUGUCAUGCCAAUGGCACUGCCCGGUAGCUAAAUGCGGAAGAGAUAAGUGCUGAAAGCAUCUAAGCACGAAACUUGCCCCGA
rnacentral:rRNA from 3 species